ACAAUGCAGAUCCUUUUCUCCUCUAUGAUUCCUGAGCCUUCAACUUAGUCUUCUUUAUCCAGCUGAGGGGAAUAAGGAAGAGAACGCACAGGGAAUUAUGUGGAGGAGGUUAGGGACAGGUUUGGCAGUGACCUGUAUCACUUUCAUUUAUGUUACAUUGACUGGAAUAUGGCAGAUCUAACUGCAAGACACCUGGGAUUGAAGACAAGCACAUAGAUACCGGGAUUUUGAGCCAUGUCACAAAGUCUAAAAUGUGAUUUAUGGUAAUGACUUUGAAUACUACAGUAUUAGCUGAUCUAUAAAGAGACUGGAGACUAAUGUGGCAGUUGAUGGAGCCUCAAUAAAGACACCAGAGCUUAGAUAAGCUUUGCUGGUUGACAAAGCUCUGUGCAUAUUGUCACACAUCAUCGUCAAGGGGAGUUAAUACUGACUAUGACUCCACACGGAGAAGACAACUAGAAGUUCAAUGUGCAGAACCUUCCUGGACUCUAUGUGUCUCUUCCCUUGGCUGAUUUUAAUUUUCAUUCUUUAGUUUAUAAUAAACUCUCAUUGUGAAUAUCA